rnacentral:rRNA from 1 species
UACGAAGGGGGCUAGCGUUGCUCGGAAUUACUGGGCGUAAAGCGCGUGUAGGCGGCCAACUAAGUCGGGCGUGAAAUCCCACGGCUCAACCGUGGAAGUGCACUCGAAACUGGAUGGCUAGAGUCCUGGAGAGGAAGGUGGAAUGCUUGGUGUAGAGGUGAAAUUCGUAGAUAUCAAGCGGAACACCGGUGGCGAAGGCGGCCUUCUGGACAGUGACUGACGCUGAGACGCGAAAGCGUGGGGGAGCAAACAGG